GAAUCCUGGAAGUAUCAGCCAGGUAGAUCAGUGGUUCUCAACCAGGGAUUUGAACCUGCUUGUGGUGGAGUAUACAAACCCUACACUAGACAACAAGGCGUUAAGGAGCUUCUGUGGGCUCAGCCAGCUCCACCCUGCCAUAUGUGCAAGGCAUCCACAGGCGGGAGCAGGAGUUAAAAGGGGAGCAGAACAGCUCACUUAUGGGCAGACCAGGGAAGAGAACAUAUCUUCGUCCCCUGGGGAAAGGAGCUUCCCAAACCAUUGCCUGAAGGCUCCUCCCUGGUGAGAGGGAGGGGCAGAUCCUCAUACUCCCUGAAAGGAGAGACUUGGAAGUGACCUCGCUGGAGGGCCAUGUCACAGGAAGAGGCGGAGCAGUCACUGACAUCAAAUCCCAGUGGAGAGAGCUGCCAUGCCAUUCCUGGCCAUGAGGAGGUGCCAGUGCUGAGCUGAUGCUUUCACAAUGCUACAUCUGUUUUCUCAUAAGGAGAAAUGUAAGAUGUGCUAUAAACAUUUACAUGUUAGCAAAGGAAAACCAAACAGGGGCUAAAACUCUAAUAAAUCUAAAACAUCUACACUUCCAUGUGGACCAGGGGGCCAGUUCAAAGCAGCAGCUGAAGAAGUCUUUUCCCUGAAGUUCUCCAUGGUUGAGGGAUGGAUUGCUUUCUCAGGCCCUGAUCCAGCAAAGCAUUUAAGCACAUGCUUAAUUUUAAACACGAGUAAUCUAAGACCUUGUGGACACUAGAUUCCAGCCACUGGUGCAGUUCCCCCUGUGCAAGCUCUUAGUAUAGACUGGCAAAAAUACCACUGGCACCACUGCUUUAAAUUGUCCUCUCACUGCUUUAAAUUGAGAUAAGCUGCACUAAUCCAAAUUUGCAGCUUCAGCUGGUUUGUCUGUCUAGAGAUGGUUCUGCCCCAGUGCUCCUACGCUGGUGAUGGGUCACCAGUGGCUGAAGUCUGGGCAACUCUCCCCUGCCAACAUCAUCUCAUUGCCUUCAGUGGGAUUACUUGCAAACUUGCAAGUGGGAUUACUUGCAAACUUAACUUUAAUGAGGCCUCUCUUAGCAUGUUACAUUUACCUGAAAUGUUCCUUCUGCCACCCAGACACCAUGUCAUUCAUUUCUUUCAUCUUCUCUUCAAACCUUUUCUUUCUGCCAACCCCACUCAUCUUCCCUUCCCUCCUUACUGCAGCUCUCGGGUCACUCCUCCCUAUAUCAGGGAAUAAAUAUUCUAAUCUUUACCCAUUUUUAAAUUUCAGCUCUUUCCUUUCGCUCAAGUCCACCAUUAUCUCAUUUUUGUUUUCCUACAUGGCCUGUAGGAGUGUCAUUGCACCCAGCUCUCUAAAUUGUUCUUGUUAUUUUAUGUCUUGCUCUGUUAAGUGUUUUGUGAUAAUUGGGGUGUGUGGGCUGUUUCUUGGAGCUAAGUCCUGGAAUUAGAAAGGGCUUCUAAAGAGAUGGAAUCAUAUCCCAAGUCACUCAUACACUACUGUGAUUACUGAUUAGAAGCAUUUGUAAAACAAUUAUUUUUGCAAAUGUGAUCUUUUAAAGUUUUAUUCACAUGCUUGUCUGUUGUCUACUUGAGAUCAGUGAUUCUUUCAGUAGAAUGGGGAAGUAUCACUUCUGUUUUAGUGUCUGGGUAUGGUCUGAUUCUGAUCACUGCUCAUUCAAUUGACUUCUGUGAGAACUGUGGGUUCUCAGCACCUUUCAGGUUUAGGCCAUUGUGUUAAUUUCCAUAUGUCUUUAUAGAUAAGUAUAGUAUCUAGAAGAGAUGAGUAGGUGUAUGUUUAAAGAAAAGUACGUAUGAUGUGAGUAGUUCUGAACAAAGUAUCUAGAGGAUUAUUUAUCUUCAACUUUGUGCAUAGCAAGAAAUAGAGACAAAUGGACAAGGAUCUCUCUCUCUCUCUCUCUCUCUCUCUCUCUCUCUCACACACACACACACACACACACACACACACACACACACACACACGGCAUUGUUUUGAAAAUUCUGUCCUUCAACUAGUUUCACACAUCUGCAGAGUAAUAGCAUAUUUCUGAAGUCGUUUAUGAAAUGAACAACUUCACAAAACAUGGUGUAAUGAGUCUUAAGAGUAAAAUUGCAACUGAUUGAACUACUAGCAAAGAAAAAUAUAUCUCCUUUUUAACACAAAUUUGUUAUUAAAUAGCAUAUGACACCUUGGGUAUCUAGAUUACUUAAUGUCAGUUUAGGUGGUGAUUAAAUGGUUUGAAAUAAUUACUUGGAAAUGUAUAGAAGACUGAUCCUGCUCUCAGUGAAAUCGGCAAAACUUUCAAUGAGGUAAAUUGGAGAAAGAGACUGGACCCUAAUUUAUGCUUAUCAUGUAGUGGCAUUAGUGACAUGCAGAAAACAUUGUUGUGCUUUCUAUUAAAAUGAACAAUAAUAAAUCAGACCAGGAAAAUCUUCU